rnacentral:rRNA from 1 species
GCUAGAUUGAUGGCGAGUGGCGAACGGGUGAGUAAUACAUCGGAACGUGCCCUGUAGUGGGGGAUAACUAGUCGAAAGAUUAGCUAAUACCGCAUACGACCUGAGGGUGAAAGUGGGGGACCGCAAGGCCUCAUGCUAUAGGAGCGGCCGAUGUCUGAUUAGCUAGUUGGUGGGGUAAAGGCCCACCAAGGCGACGAUCAGUAGCUGGUCUGAGAGGACGAUCAGCCACACUGGGACUGAGACACGGCCCAGACUCCUACGGGAGGCAGCAGUGGGGAAUUUUGGACAAUGGGCGAAAGCCUGAUCCAGCAAUGCCGCGUGUGUGAAGAAGGCCUUCGGGUUGUAAAGCACUUUUGUCCGGAAAGAAAUGGCUCUGGUUAAUACCUGGGGUCGAUGACGGUACCGGAAGAAUAAGGACCGGCUAACUACGUGCCAGCAGCCGCGGUAAUACGUAGGGUCCAAGCGUUAAUCGGAAUUACUGGGCGUAAAGCGUGCGCAGGCGGUUGUGCAAGACCGAUGUGAAAUCCCCGAGCUUAACUUGGGAAUUGCAUUGGUGACUGCACGGCCAGAGUGUGUCAGAGGGGGGUAGAAUUCCACGUGUAGCAGUGAAAUGCGUAGAGAUGUGGAGGAAUACCGAUGGCGAAGGCAGCCCCCUGGGAUAACACUGACGCUCAUGCACGAAAGCGUGGGGAGCAAACAGGAUUAGAUACCCUGGUAGUCCACGCCCUAAACGAUGUCAACUAGUUGUUGGGGAUUCAUUUCCUUAGUAACGUAGCUAACGCGUGAAGUUGACCGCCUGGGGAGUACGGUCGCAAGAUUAAAACUCAAAGGAAUUGACGGGGACCCGCACAAGCGGUGGAUGAUGUGGAUUAAUUCGAUGCAACGCGAAAAACCUUACC